rnacentral:rRNA from 1 species
GACGAACGCUGGCGGCGUGCUUAACACAUGCAAGUCGAACGGAAAGGCCCUGCUUUUGUGGGGUGCUCGAGUGGCGAACGGGUGAGUAACACGUGAGUAACCUGCCCUUGACUGUGGGAUAACUUCUGGAAACUGGGGCUAAUACCGCAUAGAAGAUCCUGCACCAUGGUGGGGAUAGGUAAGAUACGGCGGUUGGGGAUGGACUCGCGGCUUAUCAGCUUGUUGGUGGGGUAGUGGAUUACAAAGGCUUCGACGGGUAGCCUGCCUGAGAGGGUGACCGGCCACAAUGGGACUGAGAUACGGCCCAGACUCCUACGGGAGGCAGCAGUGGGGAGUAUUGCACAAUGGGCGGAAGCCUGAUGUAGCAACGCCGCGUGCGGGAUGACGGCCUUCGGGUUGUAAACCGCUUUCGCCUGUGACGAAGCGUUAGUGACGGUAAUGGGUAAAAAAGCACCGGCUAACUACGUG